UUGAACGCUGGCGGAAUGCUUUACACAUGCAAGUCGAGCGGCAGCGCGGGGGCAACCCUGGCGGCGAGCGGCGAACGGGUGAGUAAUGUAUCGGAACGUGCCCAGUCAUGGGGGAUAACUACGCGAAAGCGUAGCUAAUACCGCAUACGCCCUGAGGGGAAAAGCGGGGGAUCGCAAGACCUCGCGUGAUUGGAGCGGCCGAUGUCGGAUUAGCUAGUUGGUGGGGUAAAGGCCUACCAAGGCGACGAUCCGUAGCGGGUCUGAGAGGAUGAUCAGCCACACUGGGACUGAGACACGGCCCAGACUCCUACGGGAGGCAGCAGUGGGGAAUUUUGGACAAUGGGGGCAACCCUGAUCCAGCCAUGCCGCGUGAGUGAAGAAGGCCUUCGGGUUGUAAAGCUCUUUCAGACGGAAAGAAAUCGGGUGCGUGAAUAGCGCGCCUGGAUGACGGUACUGUCAGAAGAAGCACCGGCUAACUACGU
rnacentral:rRNA from 1 species